GGGCGGAUGGCUCAGUGGUUAGAGCCUAGGGCUUAGGAGCGAAAGGUCCUGAGUUCGAAUCUUGCGAGAGGCAG
rnacentral:tRNA from 1 species